AAAUUUAAACUCGAUUCUUAGUAAUGGUAUAGUGAAUACGAAUUUUGAGUCGUGGUCUUUACAAGCAUAAGAUGAUCGAAAAUUCUUAUAUGCAUCAAAAUAAAAGUGAACCAAUUAACACUAACCAACCAUAUUCAUUUAUUUAAUACACUUAUCUAUACACUAACAUCAAAACUAACACUGUUAAAGAAAAUAGGGGUAAAAAAACUAAUCAACCUGGUAAAAAAAUCAUACGGAUGUGGAAUUGUGGGGGUAAUAAUUAAUUCCAAGAUGUGGGUAAAAUCUGGAAAGGACAACCUCUUGCCUGCGUGAAGUAUUUAUUUUUACCCGAUGAAGUCGUCGUCGUGGAGUUUCUCUACAUAACGGGCUCAACCGGAUUGAAAAUGAUAACGGGUCUUCUCCGCCGGCGCUGCCUUUUCCGGUGCCGUAUCUUCAAUUGCCGCCGGAAAACGAAACCCAGACCUUCCUUUGGUGCGGCGGUUGUCGGAGAAACCGUGGUUCAAUUGGAAUCUAUUGGUGGGUCUACAUAAGCAAUCGAAACUGUAGAAACUUCAUCAAGGAAUCUGCAGGUCUAAGAGGAAGAAGAAGCAACAGAUUCAUCCAUCACAAUGGUGAAAAACUAGAGAUGCUGUUUGAGUAGUUUCAAAAAAAGAGAGAGUUGUUUGAGGCACUCCCUCAUGGCUCCAGUUUCUGCAGCUUAUAAGCAUGUCUUCUUUCCUUAUCAUGGAUCGACUAUCCCCAUUAGUGCCCAGUUUGCCAUGGUUUGCCAUUCUUACGAUGGAUGCUCCUGAGAUCCUAAUCAGCGGACAUGGCAUUUGUUCUAUGAUUGAUGACAUAUACGCACUUCAUCUUGCGUGGAAAUUGAGACCCCUCGACAAUGCUUCAAAGCAUAAUUUGUCAGGUUGUUAACAUCUAUGUUCUUAAUGAGCUAGCCGUGGAAAAGGUCAGUGGUUUUAGUUAAACAGAUAUAAAAGCUAAAAAGAAAUGUCCUUAUCGAUCCCCUAACAUAUUCUAGUUGACAUUUUAUCGGAUC